UCGGGAAUUUUGGGCAAUGGGCGAAAGCCUGACCCAGCAACGCCGCGUGAGGGAUGAAGUAUUUCGGUAUGUAAACCUCGAAAGAAUGGGAAGAAUAAAUGACGGUACCAUUUAUAAGCUCCGGCUAACUACGUGCCAGCAGCCGCGGUAAUACGUAGGGAGCAAGCGUUGUUCGGAUUUACUGGGCGUAAAGGGCGCGUAGGCGGCGCGGUAAGCCACUUGUGAAAUCUCUGAGCUUAACUCAGAACGGCCAAGUGAUACUGCUGUGCUAGAGUGCGGAAGAGGCAACCGGAAUUCCUGGUGUAGCGGUGAAAUGCGUAGAUAUCAAGAGGAACACCUGAGGCGAAGGCGGGCUGCUGGGCCGACACUGACGCUGAUGCGCGAAAGCCAGGGGAGCAAACG
rnacentral:rRNA from 1 species